AAAGAGUAAGGGUCUCACCGGCCCGACCUCCAACCCUUUGUUGUCAAAACACCCUUGUUGCUUUGGCGGGACGCCCCGGGCCCCCGGCCCGGCGGCCGCCUGGUCUCAACCGACCGGUCGAGCGCCCGCCAGAGUCAAACCAAACUCUUGUUUUUGACCCGUCGUCCGAGUAGAUUAUUUUAAUAAAUCA
rnacentral:misc_RNA from 1 species